UGAGCAAUCUGCCCUUCUCAUCGGAAUAAGCGUUGGAAACGACGUCUAAUGCCGAAUACGACCUCCUUUCGCAUGAUCGGAGGUGGAAAGCUCCGGCGGAGAAGGAUGAGCUCGCGGCCUAUCAGCUAGUUGGUGUGGUAAUGGCCCACCAAGGCGACGACGGGUAGCCGGCCUGAGAGGGUGACCCGGCCACACUGGGACUGAGACACGGCCCAGACUCCUAGUGGGAG
rnacentral:rRNA from 1 species